AAGAUCUUGAAGUUCUCCUCGAUGCGUUUGGGAUUGGAUGACUUGGGCAGGGGAAUGGUUCCAAUCUCAAUCUGUUUGUAUAUAUAAUAUCAAUAUCAGGAAUUUUGUUAAAGAAACAACCUGCAAAUCCGAACGAGGAGCUAAUUCGUCGGGGAGUUUAAAAUCUCCAUCAUCUCAUUUGUACUAUAAAAAAAUAAAAACAAAUAAAAACGUAUUUAGAA